ACCUACGGGGGGCAGCAGUGGGGAAUAUUGCGCAAUGGGGGGAACCCUGACGCAGCAACGCCGCGUGAAGGAUGAAGGUUUUCGGAUUGUAAACUUCUUUGAUGAGGGACGAAAAAUGACGGUACCUCAAAAACAAGCCACGGCUAACUACGUGCCAGCAGCCGCGGUAAUACGUAGGUGGCGAGCGUUGUCCGGAAUUACUGGGUGUAAAGGGCGUGUAGGCGGGGAUAUAAGUCAGAUGUGAAAUACCCAGGCUUAACUUGGGUGCUGCAUCUGAAACUAUGUUUCUUGAGUGUCGGAGAGGAAAGCGGAAUUCCCAGUGUAGCGGUGAAAUGCGUAGAUAUUGGGAGGAACACCAGUGGCGAAGGCGGCUUUCUGGACGAUAACUGACGCUGAGGCGCGAAAGCGUGGGGAGCAAACAGGAUUAGAUACCCUGGU
rnacentral:rRNA from 1 species